GGAUGCGAUUAUACCAAUACUAACGCAUCGGAUCCCAUCAAAAAUCCUAAGUUAAGUGUGCUUGGGCGAGAGUAGUAUUAGGAUGGGUGACCCCUUGGGAAGUCCUCUUGUUGGAUUCU
rnacentral:rRNA from 1 species